rnacentral:rRNA from 1 species
UACGGAGGGUGCAAACGUUGCUCGGAAUCAUUGGGCGUAAAGCGCACGUAGGCGGUCCGGUAAGUCGGGUGUGAAAUCCCUCGGCUCAACCGAGGAAGUGCAUUCGAAACUACCGGACUUGAGUAUGGAAGAGGGUCGCGGAAUUCCCGGUGUAGAGGUGAAAUUCGUAGAUAUCGGGAGGAACACCAGUGGCGAAGGCGGCGACCUGGGCCAAUACUGGACGCUGAGGAGCGAAAGCG